rnacentral:lncRNA from 1 species
AUGGGGGAUUUUCAUGAAAGGAUUACAUUAUUUAAAGUUGUGAUUUUGGUCUGUUUUCAGAUUUUUGGAGAGAGUGAUGCCAGCAAUGAUGGGGCACGUGCAACUACCACUUCGGAGCCUGAAGAUGAUGGAGAUGGCGACACCUCUACGAUGGACCCUGAGCCUGUAGUGGUCCAUCGUGGAUCUCAGUGCAACAUACGAUGUUUCCAUCGUUCAUUAGCUGUUCAGGUAAAGCCUCAGAUGGCUGAUGUGGGGACUCAAACCGAAAGGUUUGCGAUACGAAGAUCGACUCCACUGGCCAGUCCUGAACAAAGUGAUGAUGAAUGGUCAUGUUCUGAUAUAGACCAUUCUGGUGAUAUGUCAUGGAUUCCAGAGGAAGACAUGUUGAGCGAUUCCUCUGAGGUGGAACCAGAAGAGCUGGAAUCUCUCAGUGACCCAAAUGCUGCUGACAAGUUCAUUGUUUGCCAGAGGCAAUUGCUGUCUUUGUUCACUGUUUGCCCUGCAUGCUGUGGGGAAACCCAGGGACACAUAAUGCACCCGGAAGGAACAUUCAUAAAAGUCAAGCAGGUAAUGUCUUAUUUGUCAACUGUAUGUGAGGAGCUGAAUCAUAUUCUGUGA